rnacentral:rRNA from 1 species
CUACGUGCCAGCAGCCGCGGUAAUACGUAGGUCCCGAGCGUUGUCCGGAUUUAUUGGGCGUAAAGCGAGCGCAGGCGGUUAGAUAAGUCUGAAGUUAAAGGCUGUGGCUUAACCAUAGUACGCUUUGGAAACUGUUUAACUUGAGUGCAAGAGGGGAGAGUGGAAUUCCAUGUGUAGCGGUGAAAUGCGUAGAUAUAUGGAGGAACACCGGUGGCGAAAGCGGCUCUCUGGUUUGUAACUGACGCUGAGGCUCGAAAGCGUGGGGAGCAAACAGGAUUAGAUACCCUGGUAGUCCACGCCGUAAACGAUGAGUGCUAGGUGUUAGACCCUUUCCGGGGUUUAGUGCCGCAGCUAACGCAUUAAGCACUCCGCCUGGGGAGUACGACCGCAAGGUUAAAACUCAAAUGAAUUGACGGGGGCCCGCACAAGCGGUGGAGCAUGUGGUUUAAUUCGAUGCAACGCGAAGAACCUUACCUACUCUUGACAUCCAUGGAAUCCUGUAGAGAUACGGGAGUGC